rnacentral:hammerhead_ribozyme from 1 species
AUCCAACUGACGAGUCCCAAAUGGGUCGAAAUGCGCUUCAAACUGGAU